AUUGAACGCUGGCGGCAGGCCUAACACAUGCAAGUCGAGCGGAUGAAGGGAGCUUGCUCCUGGAUUCAGCGGCGGACGGGUGAGUAAUGCCUAGGAAUCUGCCUGGUAGUGGGGGAUAACGUCCGGAAACGGGCGCUAAUACCGCAUACGUCCUGAGGGAGAAAGUGGGGGAUCUUCGGACCUCACGCUCUCAGAUGAGCCUAGGUCGGAUUAGCUAGUUGGUGGGGUAAAGGCCUACCAAGGCGACGAUCCGUAACUGGUCUGAGAGGAUGAUCAGUCACACUGGAACUGAGACACGGUCCAGACUCCUACGGGAGGCAGCAGUGGGGAAUAUUGGACAAUGGGCGAAAGCCUGAUCCAGCCAUGCCGCGUGUGUGAAGAAGGUCUUCGGAUUGUAAAGCACUUUAAGUUGGGAGGAGGGGCAGUAAGUUAAUACCUUGCUGUUUUGACGUUACCAACAGAAUAAGCACCGGCUAACUUCGCG
rnacentral:rRNA from 1 species